CCUACGGGAGGCAGCAGUAAGGAAUAUUGGUCAAUGGACGAAAGUCUGAACCAGCCAUGCCGCGUGAAGGAUGAAGGCCCUCUGGGUUGUAAACUUCUUUUAUCUGGGACGAAAAAGGGAAUUCUUUCUCACUUGACGGUACCAGAGGAAUAAGCACCGGCUAACUCCGUGCCAGCAGCCGCGGUAAUACGGAGGGUGCAAGCGUUAUCCGGAUUUACUGGGUUUAAAGGGAGCGUAGGUGGGCAGGUAAGUCAGUGGUGAAAUCUCCGGGCUUAACCCGGAAACUGCCAUUGAUACUAUCUGUCUUGAAUAUUCUGGAGGUAAGCGGAAUAUGUCAUGUAGCGGUGAAAUGCUUAGAUAUGACAUAGAACACCAAUUGCGAAGGCAGCUUACUACGGGAUUAUUGACACUGAGGCUCGAAAGCGUGGGGAUCAAACAGGAUUAGAUACCCUGGUAGUCCACGCCCUAAACGAUGGAUACUCGACAUCAGCGAUACACUGUUGGUGUCUGAGNGAAGANAUAAGUAUACCACCUACGGAAGGUAACGAGUCGCGAAGAAGUUAGUAACGUACGAAAGGAAAGUUAGUACGGACGUAGAGACGUAGACCGACGGACGACGACGAGGGAGGAGG
rnacentral:rRNA from 1 species